UACGUAGGGUGCAAGCGUUGUCCGGAAUUAUUGGGCGUAAAGAGCUCGUAGGCGGUUUGUCGCGUCUGCUGUGAAAACCCGAGGCUCAACCUCGGGCCUGCAGUGGGUACGGGCAGACUAGAGUGCGGUAGGGGAGAUUGGAAUUCCUGGUGUAGCGGUGGAAUGCGCAGAUAUCAGGAGGAACACCGGUGGCGAAGGCGGGUCUCUGGGCCGUAACUGACGCUGAGGAGCGAAAGCAUGGGUAGCGAACAGG
rnacentral:rRNA from 1 species